rnacentral:rRNA from 1 species
UACGAAGGGGGCGAGCGCUGUUCGGAAUUACUGGGCGUAAAGCGUGCGCAGGCGGUUGUGCAAGACCGAUGUGAAAUCCCCGGGCUUAACCUGGGAAUGGCAUUGGUGACUGCACGGCUAGAGUGUGUCAGAGGGGGGUAGAAUUCCACGUGUAGCAGUGAAAUGCGUAGAGAUGUGGAGGAAUACCGAUGGCGAAGGCAGCCCCCUGGGAUAACACUGACGCUCAUGCACGAAAGCGUGGGGAGCAAACAGG